GCAAGUCGAACGAACUCGGACUUCGGUCCUUAUGGGUGAGUGGCGAACGGGUGAGUAACACGUGAGAAACCUGCCCCGAAGUUUGGGAUAACUCAGAGAAAUUUGAGCUAAUACCAGAUGUCUUCUUUCAGCCGCAUGGUUGGUUGAGGAAAGAUUUAUCGCUUUGGGAGGGUCUCGCGACCUAUCAGCUAGUUGGUGAGGUAAUGGCUCACCAAGGCAUCGACGGAUAGCUGGUCUGAGAGGAUGAUC
rnacentral:rRNA from 1 species